rnacentral:lncRNA from 1 species
GACAGGGAAAGCCUGCCCACACCAGCUCCCACACUGCACUACCAUACCCAUCAUCCUAAUCCCUAAUGCCUGGACUGACCCGGCAGGCCAACAGGACGGAGCGUCAGAAGCCAGAGCAAAUGAGCUGCCCUCAGUAGCAGUUGAUCUGGGUCCCAGCAAAUGGCACAUACUCUGUGACCCUGGGCUCAUUAAAAAAACAGAGCUGUCAGCCUCUGCCCGGGGCAUCAGGGUCUCCUAAUCGCACUGCCAUCCCAGAUCACACCAGUCCACUCCAGUCGCUGAGUGCAGUAACAGGGGGUGCUGAACAGGUAUGUGAGACAACCACAGGUGGUGAUGGGUGUCCAGCUGGACACACCGCACUGACACACUGAUUCACCAGUCACAGCCACUUUCCUGUACUGCAUAUGACUUUGUGACCCCAGGAGACACUGUAACCUGGACCGCAUCCUAGUUGACAAACUCAUGUGCCACCACUGCCCCGAGGCCAUCUCUGCACCAUUAUCCCUAGGCUAAGAUCAAACAGCAGCCACUUGGGAUGCUAAGGGCAAAGUUUUUGACCUUAGUUAGAUCAGCCCCAGCCUAGAAGGCCUGGGCUCAUCUCAGAGCGCCUGAAACAGAAACUCAGCUCUUUCAUUUAUUUCUGGGGUGGCCCUGAGCACGAGAAACUGACAAGCUCGUAGUGAGGGACUGACUGAUACUAAGAAUACCUCCUACCUCACCCAGUUCCUAAAAACUGGGAUAAAAGUAGCAUCUUGGAUAAAGGGCGGACACGUGGUUCAGAGCUUUCUAUUACUACCAAACUACCUACACCGCAUUGAGCAUGGGUCCUAGUAAUACUGCUAUCACUACUACUACCACUACUGGGAAGCACUCCAUUGUCCUAGUCAGGGUGACCAUUGCUGCCAUAAAAAACCAAAAGCAACUCGAGGAGGAAAGGGUUUAUGCGGCUCACACUUCGACAUCCUUACUCCAGCACUGAAGGAAGUAAGGACAGGAAGUCCAACAGGGAAGGAACCUAGAGGCAGGAGCUGCUGCAGAGACCAUGGAGGGGUGUUCCUCACUGGCUUGCUUUUCUGGCUUCCUCCACCUGCAUUCUUACAAAACUCAGGGCUACCGGCCCAGGGAUGGGAGCCCCCACAAUGCUCUGGGCCCUCCCACAUUAAUCACUAACUAAGAAAAUGCCCAAUGGACAGAACUUAUGGAGGAAUUCUCAAUUGAGGGUCCCUACUUUCAGACGAGGCCCGCUGUGCCAAGUUAAUAAAAAACUAGCCAGCACAGUAGGAGUAUUGAUUGCUACUGAUAGUAACACCAAAGAGUACUACAGCUUCAGAGUAUGAACACUGCUGGUCCUGCUGAUAAGUAGUAUUACUGUCACUGUCGCUGCCACUAGUCCUGGGGAGAAUGUCCGGGUUCCCCAGGAACCCCCUUCUCUACUCUUCUGCCAUGACUUUUCAAUAAGCAGGUUCCUAAAAGAGUAGCCAGGGUUCCACGGACUGUGCUGUCGCAGGACUUCCUGCCUUCCUGCCCUUCCCGGCUCCAAAGGUGAUCACUAUGGGACAAAACUGACAUCACUUCAGCAUAGCUGUCCUCUCUCGCCCAGCUGCUGCUGCCUGCACCUCUGUAGCUGACCUACUAAGCGGGACCCACACUCACUGUGACACGUCAGCUGGGUAAACAUCUGGGGCUCAGGACUCCAACUAAAGGGAGGGCAGCCUCUGACACCACGGACAACCACAAGCCAGGGACAGACCCAGACUCAGGGUGCUUCAAGACCAUGAUGCUUUCAGAAUGUAAAGUGCCUGAUUACAGCUGUAAACUACAGAACAAGGGGGCAGAUGGAUGCGCCAAGAAAUGGCACACCUAUGUGAAGCCACCCUGAAGCCCCUGGUCCCUGUGGCACUUAGCAGAUGUCUGUUUUGUGCCCCCAAGCACAUAUUGAGACUCCGGAGCUUCCUAGAGGAAUUCCACUAGCCAUGGUUGUGCAGCGCAUUUGACCGGGAAACUCUGCAAGGCGGCUACAGAGACAGCAGCUCACUGUGCUAUUCAUUUUAAACUCAGACUUUCUGCAGCCAUGUAAAAAAUACCAUCCCCGUGACGCUCAACACAAGUAAAGCAAACCGAAAACCG